UACGUAGGGGGCAAGCGUUGUCCGGAAUCAUUGGGCGUAAAGCGCGCGUAGGCGGCCCUGUAAGUCCGUUGUGAAAGUCGAAGGCUCAACCUUCGAAAGCCGAUGGAUACUGCAGGGCUAGAGUCCGGAAGAGGCGAGUGGAAUUCCUGGUGUAGCGGUGGAAUGCGUAGAUAUCAGGAGGAACACCAAUAGCGAAGGCAGCUCGCUGGGACGGUACUGACGCUAAGGCGCGAAAGCGUGGGGAGCGAACAGG
rnacentral:rRNA from 1 species